rnacentral:rRNA from 1 species
CUUGAUAUACAUAAGAGGUCUUGCCUGCCCAGUGAUAAACUUCAACGGCCGCGGUACCCUAACCGUGCAAAGGUAGCAUAAUCACUUGUUCUCUAAAUAAGGACUCGUAUUAACGGCAUAACGAGGGUUACACUGUCUCCCCCCUCCAAUCAGUGAAACUGAUCCCCCCGUGAAAAAGCGGGGAUAAAACUAUAAGACGAGAAGACCCCGUGGAGCUUUAAACCAACAGCAAUUUAGUAAAAAAUUCCCUCAUAACUAUAAAASKAGGCUAACGGCUUUMGGUUGGGGUGACCACGGAGUAAAACUUAACCUCCAUGUCGAAAAGAUAAUCUUAACCUAAGAAUUACUAUUCUAAGAAUUAGAAAACUAACGAACCAUGACCCGAUUAUCGAUCA